CCGCCGGCCCCGCCCCCGCGCCGCCAUUGGCACGCGGGACGAGGCUCCGCCCAGCAGGGCCCCCUUCCCGCGCCGAAGGGCGCCGGGCGGUGGUGUCUCCACCAGCGGGUCGUGGCGGGGGCCAAAACCCUGUCCUCACGUCCACACGUCUGGCCGCCCUUCCCCCGGGCGCUCGCUCGUGGGCUCGACCGUUGCACGUUCCUUGAGCUUCUGUGGCGGUCGGCCUGGAGGAGCUGGGCUGGCCUCCCCUGCACGCAGCCCGAGUCUGUCAAAUGAAGAUGAUGUGGACUCAGAGCCUGGCGUGGUCACCCACAGCUGUGUGAUCUUGGACAAGUUACUCACCCUUUCUGUUCAUCAGUGUCCUCGUCCGUGAAAGGGAAGUACAGUGAAUGUAAAGUGCUCAGGACAGCAAAGUGCAACCCAGUAUGUGCUUGUGAGGGGAUGGGCAGGUAGAUCCCGUCCCUGCCUGGCCACUCCUUUGGGGAAGCUUGUGUCUUUUAUGACAAAGACAGUGCUCCGUCCUGGCCUCCUUGAGCCUGGAAAUUAAGGCAACUGCCACGGAGGGCCCAGCGUGGACUUUGGAGUCUCCUAGCCACAUUUCCUAAUAGGCAUCAUCAUGCUGUAUUAAAGUGGAGGUGGGAACCCCAAGAACAGAGGAGGCUGGAAAUGCUGUAAGUGCAUGGCAGACUCGCCCCUCUCUGCACCCUAGGGCACAAGGUGCAUCCUCUUGGCUCCGGCUUGUCAGCACCCUGGGGCGUUAUUUCUGGACUCCUUGCGUUCUGAGAGAGAGGUUCCUACGCCUGGGAUUCUGCCCUCUGCUACGCUCUGUGGGCAGACAGGCCCCUUCUGGCAGGCUGGGCUGGGCUUUUGUGGACAGGGACAGCUCUGGGCAGUGGCUUCCCAAGAGGCCUGUCCAUCUGUUCACCUGAUUGCCCUGACUCGUCUGUUUUCUUGUAAUAAGGCUGGGUGGCUCACUCAGCCUCCUGCAAAGGCCUGUGGGCACAGGAGAGGCCUUUUGGAAACUGGUUUCCACCCUUGGGAUAAUUUACAUACCACCCAGUUGGAGAAUAAUGGUGGGGCAGGAAGAGAGAGGUCACAUUCUCCAUCCCUAAAGGGCAUAGUUUUCUGGUUCCUGUCACUGGCAGUGGGACACACAGUCACAGAUGCCCUGCUUCCCCCCGACUCCCAUGCCCCGGCACCGGGGUGGCAGGCCCACCAGGGUCCCAUGUGGAUGCAUGGGGACUAUCAGCUCUUUUCCAGGUUUCCAGAAGCCUCGAAAUAUUGUGCAUUUUCCUCCAAUAAGGCCAGAAAGCCUGACUCAAACAUAAAAUGACAACUCAGCUGUACUGAGUUGACUUGUGUCCCCCUCAAAAGAUAUGUCCGUGUUCUAACUCCUGGUGCUUGUAUGAUUUUAUCGGGAAACAGGGUCAUUGCAAAUGUGAUCAGGUGAAGAGGAAGUCAUCCUAGAUUAUGGAGGGGCCCCAAUCCAAUGACAGUGUAUCUUCAUAAGAAGAGAGAAUUUGGAUACGUCGACUAGGAGACAGACACAGGGGAAAACAACAUAUGAAGACGGAUGCAGAGAUGGAGGUGAUGUGUCUACAGCCAAGGAACCUGAGGGUCACCAGAGCCACCAGCAGCCGGGAGAGAGAGGUGGAUUAGAGUCUCCCUCAGAGCCUCAGAAGGGAUCGACCCUGCUGACCGCUUGAGCUGAGACUUGGAUUUCCAGAACUGAGAGAUGGUAACUGCCUGUUGUUCAGGCUGCCUGGUUUGUGGUGCUGUGUUACAGCAGCCGCAAGAAACCCAUACAUCAGGCCGUUCAGAGCUUCUGGUGGGCAGGCGUUCUCUGCCUCUGAUUGGCACGCAACGGCAAGGAAGGUCAUCACUGAUUAAUGCUUGCAACACAGUGUGAUCUGUGAAACCUUUUCCUAAGGUGGUGGGGGGCGGUCCCUGGAGAAAGAAUACUAAAGGGGUCCAGGGUGGAGAAAAGGAGGGACCCAUAACAUACGGUCCUGGAAAAGCACUGCCAGAGCCCGAAACUUACUGCUCCUGGGGGCCUGGGUAUUGGAGAGAAAAUCCCCCUGGUACUGAAGGGCAUCCAGGAAACAACACUUUCUUGUGGCCUGGGCGGGGAGGGUGCACAGGAAGGAUCCAGGGGCUCUGGAGUCUGACACUUGCUCCUGUCCCUGAUAUGUAAACUGGGGUUCCUGCUGCCCAGUCCCUAGAAAGGCAAGGGGUAAAGGGAGAACACUGGGUAGAGGGGGAGGGGCACAAGGAAGCCCUGUCCCCACCCCACCCUCCGGGUGACUGGUGGCACUGGCUGGAUCUAUGGUGGUUUUUCCUGUCCUGAAUGACUGUGGCCAGACUCUGGCCCCACUCUACAGAUGCAGAAACUGAGGCCCAGCUCUCACCAUUGCUCUGGAGGCAUGGGAAUCACCACAGAACCAGGGAACCAAGAUUCAGCCUUGUACUGUUGGCCACCGACCGAAUGGCCUGAAAUAGGGCACUAGUGGUCCAAGAAGUCAAAGAGGACUCAGUCGGCCGUGCUGGCCCCUGACCAGGGCGCCCAGGAACACACUCCAGUGACUCAGCGGUGACUCAGGAGGAGGCAGCAGAUGCGGAAACCGCUAGUCCUCUGCCAGCUAGGGAAGCAGCCCCGGGUGGUGAUAAGCAGCUGGGGCAUCCGAGCCCCUCUAUCCGGGAGGACCCAGAGCCGGGAACCCAGAAGGCCUCCGCACAGCCGUUCUGUGAAGGCAGGAAGGACAGCCUGGCGGUCCCCAGCUGGGCAACCCUGAGCCACGAGCCCCCGGAGCAACCCGCCCCACCAGGUGCCCACAUCACAGAGGGGGUGGGAGGGGGUGCUUCGAGGCUCAGAAAUGAGGACACUUGUUCCUAAUCCACACAGUCAGACGGCAGACAUACGGGCCUCGGUUUCCUGUAUGUGAAAUGGGGCUAAAACCAGCCCCACGACCUGGGGAGGUUGCGUGGUGGAGGCCACGCGUGGAAAGCGCAGCGUGAGUCCACCUUCCGGGCGCGCUCCGUUCACGCUCCGCCCCCGCUCCACGCUCCGCCCCCCGCGCCGGGCGUGCUCGUUCACGCUGUGUGCGUGGAAGCCAUUGUCGGGCUUACCCGCGACUGCUCCGCCUCGAAGGCCGAAUUUUUUUCUAUCCUGUGUUUCUGAGUCAGGUUUUGCACGCGGUCUCCGAUGCUCUGUGAGCCUCAGCCUCUCACGGUGAGAAGUCUAUGAAAUGACGGGACGCAGUCGCACCGACAGCCAGGAGGUGGGAACCGCCCGAGGGUCCUUCAGUGGCUGAACGACAGGUGGUACGGCCACGCCAGGGGCGUUAGCCAGCCGCGGAAAGGAACGCAGCCCCGGCUCACGCUGCCACGUGGAUGGACGUCGAAAACGUGACACCGAGUGACGGAAGCCAGACACAAAGGGCCACAUCUCAUGUGCUACCGUUUAUUAGACCCACAUACAGUUUGUGAGUGGAGGACAAGGACAAGAAACCUGCUUGGAAGCAUCUGGAACUGAGUGGGAGGGCAAGCCAGGCCAGGAACUCCCCAGGAUCUGUGUUCCAGGCCAGGAAGGUGGCUGGGUUGAGGCUCCUGAAAGGCCAUCCCAAGACCUGUGGGCGCCAGGAGAAAGACCAGGCAAGGCCAGCCUCCCAGAUGCUGGGGCGGAAGCCAGAACAAUGGCAUCCCCUGCGUUUGGACCCCUUCCAAAGAGGUUCACGUUUUCCACGGAGAGAGCACUCACGACAACUGGAAGGGAGAAGAGAAAGCCAGAGGCCGCGUUUCCCAGCUGUGAUGUGUGCUGUGCCACCAGCCCACCGCCUGCUCCCCCACAGACACCUGGCUCGUGGGUCCUGGCCACGGGAAAGCCUCAGGAGCCCUGCUUUCAGGUUGGCCCGGUGGCGUUGGCUAUGUGGCUUGGAGGCUGGGAGAGAUGCCAUCCAGCGUGCUCCCCGAGAGGUCCACAGGGCGAGCCAAAAACUGACCCAGCCAGACUGACGACGUGAGCACCCCUCGCUUGUCUGGAACCACCUCGCUGGCAGCCUUGCGUGUCCAGAGAGCCCCUGGAACCAAUAAGUCAGCAGGGAUGGGCCGUGGCAGCCGGGGAUCCCGCUCCAAGUCCCAGCCUGCAAGCCUCGUCUCGCUCAGAGCCUCCUUACUCCUUGCCUGACACGCGGCACUGACAGGGCUGGUGUCCGGGCCCCAGGGCUCAUAUGAGAGGAGCCUGGAAAGCAAUCACGGACACUCUCCUCCCCGGGCGGGGCCCCUCAGCCCUGCCCGUCUGCCCAGCGAUGUGUCACCUGGCGAGCGUUGUGCAGAGAGUGUCGCGGGACCCAGGGCUCAUGCCAGGCUUCUCCCGCCAACUACGAGCCCUUGGGAAAGUCGUGUCACCUACAGGGGCUUUAUGCCCGCCAAGCCCUGCUUCCCCAUUUUACAGCUGGGAAAACUGAGGCUCCGUGCCACAACCCCGGCACAUCAGAAAGCGGGAAGCUGUGUCCGGUAGCUCUCCUCGUGGCAGGGAAGAGACUGUGCACAAGCACAAGUGUUAGCACGAACACACCCAACCUGAGCCAGACGGCCGAUCUUCGCAGCUCACGAGAGAACUGUGGCUCCUUCAUUUCACAGACAAGGAAUCUAAAACCCAGAAAAUGAAACCGCUUGCCCUGAGUCCCGAGCCAGGGAGCUGGAGACAGUGUCGCCCUCGUGGCAGGCACCACGGGGCCACUGUGUGGUGAACAAGUCAUCCUGGCCGAAAUUGAGGUCCAGCCUUUGCCUUCGGCUUCUGGGAGAUCUGCAUCAUGUCCGAUAGACGUGUCUUUGUUUAGUGCGGGGACCAGUCACAUCAGAAAGUCCAGCCACGUGAUUUAGGUUGGGGGCUUUGGACCACGCCGCAUCAGUCCACCUGGUAACCAUGUCGGCAAUGGACCGACCAAUCAAGCCUACGUCGUGGAACCCCAAAAAACUGGGCACCGGGGCUGGGGUGGGCACCCCUGCUUGGCAACAGUCUGUGCAUUUUGUCACACGUCAGUGCCGGAGGGCCACGCGUCCUGAGCGCAACAGAAACUUUCCCCGUGGACCACCCCCAUCCCCACCCCGGCCGCCGUCUCCUGUGACGUAUCUGCUUUCGUGACUUCCGUGAGUUCUCCUAGCCGGUUUUGGAAUCUGCGCGUGGUUUGCGGAACUCUCCCACCUUGCAACUGGUGAAGUGAGGCGUGAGACCGUCUCGGGGCCGAUGCUGACUCCCCUUUCACACUUGGGUCUUGCUAAUCCCCACACGAGACAGAUGACCACCAUCCCCACGUCAGGAGGGAAAAAGGCUCAGAGGGUUAGGUAUAGACGCAAUGUGUAAACCCCUGUCUCUCAAAAUUUCUGGUUUGAUUCUCUCUGCCGUGCAACCCCCCAAAUAACGUAUUUUUAAAAGACCAA